rnacentral:rRNA from 1 species
GAUGAACGCUAGCUACAGGCUUAACACAUGCAAGUCGAGGGGCAUCAGGAAGAAAGCUUGCUUUCUUUGCUGGCGACCGGCGCACGGGUGAGUAACGCGUGGGUAACCUGCCUCAUACAGGGGGAUAACAGUUAGAAAUGACUGCUAAUACCGCAUAAGACCACAGCACCGCAUGGUGCAGGGGUAAAACUCCGGUGGUAUGAGAUGGACCCGCGUCUGAUUAGGUAGUUGGUGGGGUAACGGCCUACCAAGCCGACGAUCAGUAGCCGACCUGAGAGGGUGACCGGCCACAUUGGGACUGAGACACGGCUCAA